AGGAAAGACACCAUCUGCCAUCGAAGUUACAAGCAUCUGUAGUGGCCAGCUUUGAUAAUGCACCGGCGGUGGAAUUGCUAUUGUGAUCGACUCCUUGAUAACCUGCUGUACUGAUGACCGAAAUAGAAUAUCCAUCUACAUGCAAUAUCCCCGAACUCUGCUUCUGCUGAAGAACUGCAACGGCUUUGUCGGACUCCUCAGCUUCUCUUUAACUAUUAUCAGCUUUGGACCACAAUGCCAACUGACCUUAGGAAUAUUUACCUAAGUGUUUGGAUUUCCAGGAGUGCGGCUUAUAGAUCUGCUUUGGUGACGAGUCCUUCGCUGUUGGCGAGAACACUCAAGGCAGAGUGCCUUUUUGUGUUCUCGGGUGAAUAUAUUCUUGAAUUACUCCCUCGUCCGCUUGCGCCAUAGUCCCGAGAACCCCUAGGAUGAGGUACCUUCUUCGGAUGCUUAGGAAUAUGGGUGCAUUUUGUG
rnacentral:lncRNA from 1 species